UGGGUUGUUAGCAGAGGCAGGUGGAGAGGCCAGGCGCCUAGAGGCGCACACAGGAUCUCCUCGGAGCAUAUCUGAGAAAGAACGAACUGAGAAAGGAUGCCUGCCUGCGUGCAAAGGACUGUCAUAAAAAGAGGGAGCCGGACAGAGUCCCGACACUGGAAUGGGGAGAGGCAUGGGAGACUGGAUGGAGACUUUUAUUUAAGCCAGUGUGAUCAUCUUGAAUUGAUUUUAAGUAGGAGAGACUGAAGGUCACUCCUGCUGCUAACCAGGCCUAGACAUCUCCGAAUCGUUCCCCCGGCUGAGAGGGGAGAAAGAGAGUAAACGGCUCCCAGCAGGGCGCUGAUUUCAUUUAAAGCCCGACGUUUCCGAUCUGAAGUCAGAAUUCUUUCACCCCCAACUACGUUGAUCACAAGCUCUAACAAGAACCAUACAAGCAACCCAAGAAUACACAGCAAGUGUCAUCAUUCAGCCAGUGUUGCCAACUUCACACACAGUGAGAACAGCUCAAGGCUACUGAGAUGUUGACAUUUCUCAUUGGAAUAGGAAACGUGAGGAACAUCCACCAUUACAAGCAGCUCACGGGACUGGAGAGUGGUGCCCAGUCUCUUAGAAGGAGGACACCCUGACUGAACAGCUCCCGCUGCAGGAGAUGAAACUCCUGUUCAAACAGACUUACUGGACAGAGACAUCGCUAGCUUCUAUGAGGAGUGUAAGGUGAGUUUCAGGGCUACCUGAACCACGGGCUCCGGACCUCCAGAGCCCCUUCCCCUUGCCUUCUUAGCACUACAUGGCUCCAGCUUCAACAGUAAAAGGAGAAGAGUGGAUAAGGGCAGUGUGGUUGUCAGAGCAUUGGUUCCAUCUUAACACACCUACAAUGUUAGUAUUAUUU